CCUACGGGGGGCAGCAGUGAGGAAUAUUGGUCAAUGGACGAGAGUCUGAACCAGCCAAGUAGCGUGAAGGAUGACUGCCCUAUGGGUUGUAAACUUCUUUUAUAUGGGAAUAAAACGUUCCACGUGUGGGAUUUUGUAUGUACCAUAUGAAUAAGGAUCGGCUAACUCCGUGCCAGCAGCCGCGGUAAUACGGAGGAUCCGAGCGUUAUCCGGAUUUAUUGGGUUUAAAGGGAGCGUAGGUGGCUUGUUAAGUCAGUUGUGAAAGUUUGCGGCUCAACCGUAAAAUUGCAGUUGAAACUGGCAGUCUUGAGUACAGUAGAGGUGGGCGGAAUGCGUGGUGUAGCGGUGAAAUGCUUAGAUAUCACGAAGAACUCCGAUUGCGAAGGCAGUUCACUGGACUGCAACUGACACUGAGGCUCGAAAGUGUGGGUAUCAAACAGGAUUAGAUACCCCGGUAGUC
rnacentral:rRNA from 1 species